rnacentral:rRNA from 1 species
UACGGAGGGUGCAAGCGUUGUCCGGAAUCACUGGGCGUAAAGGGCGCGUAGGCGGCUCAUGAAGGCUGUGGUGAAAGUCCGGGGCUCAACCUCGGAUCGGCCGUGGCGACUCGUGGGCUGGAGCACUGUAGAGGCGGGUGGAAUUCCGGGUGUAGCGGUGGAAUGCGUAGAGAUCCGGAAGAACACCAGUGGCGAAGGCGGCCCGCUGGGCAGUGGCUGACGCUGAGGCGCGACAGCGUGGGGAGCAAACGA